UUGAGAGUUUGAUCCUGGCUCAGAACGAACGCUGGCGGCAGGCUUAACACAUGCAAGUCGAGCGCACCUUCGGGUGAGCGGCGGACGGGUUAGUAACGCGUGGGAACAUACCCUUUGGUACGGAAUAGCCUCUGGAAACGGAGAGUAAUACCGUAUGAGCCCUUCGGGGGAAAGAUUUAUCGCCAAAGGAUUGGCCCGCGUUAGAUUAGGUAGUUGGUGGGGUAAUGGCCUACCAAGCCUACGAUCUAUAGCUGGUUUUAGAGGAUGAUCAGCAACACUGGGACUGAGACACGGCCCAGACUCCUACGGGAGGCAGCAGUGGGGAAUAUUGGACAAUGGGGGAAACCCUGAUCCAGCCAUGCCGCGUGAGUGAAGAAGGCCUUAGGGUUGUAAAGCUCUUUCAGUCGUGAAGAUGGUGACUGUAGCGACAGAAGAAGCCCCGGCUAACUCCGUGCCAGCAGCCGCGGUAAUACGGAGGGGGCUAGCGUUGCUCGGAAUUACUGGGCGUAAAGAGCACGUAGGCGGGUAUUCCAGUCAGGCGUGAAAGCCCCGGGCUCAACCCGGGAACUGCGCUUGAUACUGAAUACCUAGAGUCCGAGAGAGGGUGGUGGAAUUCCCA
rnacentral:rRNA from 1 species